rfam:Paxillus involutus ATCC 200175 unplaced genomic scaffold PAXINscaffold_6, whole genome shotgun sequence.
GUCCUUGUCGAUUAGUGGUUAAAUCAUCACGUUGUGGGAUUGCCAAACCGUGAAGCCGGAAGUUCGAAUCCUCCCUGGGACA